rnacentral:lncRNA from 1 species
AAAAAUUCAACAAAACAUAGGGCUUCUGCAAAUUAUGGCUACUCGCAUGAUUUCACCGAGGAUAUAACAAUUUUUAAAAUGCAAUAGAAGUUUAAAGUUCGGGUUGUUCGUCCAUGGGAAGUACCAGAUUGUUCCAAUUCAGACACUAUUUUCUCGAUUGAAUUGGUUCUACAAGAUGAAAAGGUAUUAAAAAUCACUUUUUAUCUUACUAAUUCGUUUUGCUUCUCUAUUUUUUAAGUUGCAAAUCUAAAUUGAAUUGGUUGUACAAGAUUAAAAGGUAUCAAAAAUUACUUUUUUUUUGUCUUACUUCUGUUGUUCAUACAUUUUUUAACAUUACUUUCUUGAUUGAAUUGGUUCUACAAGGUGUGUAUGGAUAUAUUUUUGAAUAAAUUUCAAAUCUGGAUUAAAUGUUCACUUUGUUUAUUUUAUACGAAGCUACAGAUUCACUAUUAAUUUUUUUAUUGAUUCUUUUAAUUAAAUGAUUUGCAGGUUAUAAAUUAAUAAAGCUAUAGGAACUAAAGUUUAGUACUGAUUUUUUAUCUUUUUAUUUAAUUUUAAAUAUGUAGGAUUCCACUAAAGAUAACGAGUUGAUCGAUAUAGCAAACACAUCUGCCAAAAUAGGUAUAAUUAAUGUCGUAGCAAUGGUUGAAGAAGUUCCGAAUGCACAAUUGUUUGGAAAUAAGAUCAAGAGACUAUUUAAGAAGACGAAAAUAAAAUAAGGUAUUUGCUUAUGUAACCGUUGGAGAAACCAAAAACUAUGUGAUUAGUUAGUUUAGUAGUUUUAUUAGUUAUUAACAAGAUAUUUGAAUUAUUUUAUGUUUUUCUGAAAUUGAACUUUCCGGUUUAGUUAGUUUGGAAAUUUCAAUAGUUAUGGAUAAGUAAUUUGAAGCAUUUCAUGGUUUCUUAUGGUAUUUACUUUUUCUAUUUAUAUACAUACAAUCCAUUGAUUUCUACUACUUCAUAGAUUUUUUUUACUUAGUGGAUAGGUUACUUGUCCGUGUUGGCUAUUUUUUGGCCCAUUUCACUGUUACAUUGGUUCUAUAUAUGUUCGAAGAACCUUUUUCCAAUCUCGGUUGAUAUGUUUUCUCGUCAAGCUAUCUAAAUUGAUGUCAUGGUGAAGCUUUGUUGUUUGAUGGGUAGCCUUGAAUUGAUGUGAGGAUGGAGCUAUCUUAUUCUGUUGAUUGAUUGUCAAUUGAUGGAUCUAGCAUGGAAAGUUCGAGCUACAACAAUAGAAUGAUGGAGUUGAACUAUUGUCUUAUUAAUUCUUCAAGAGUUGGUCGAAUAUUGUUUCCGUAAUGGAUUCAAGAAAAAUGCAAAUUAUUUUUGCAUUAAACUAUUGAUUAGAGGUGGAAAAUUAAGCAUGUCUUUUAUGAUUAUUGCUCGAUUUCUUAAGAAAAUUGUAAUGUUCUGUUUUGGACUUGAAUCUACUGCCAGUGAUGAUUUUUCCAAGUCCUUUUUUGCCAUCAUUUUUGUUGCUGUACAAGUUUUAUUUGAAUUAAAAAUGUUUUUAAUUCGAUUGGACUGAAAUAAAAAUGGAUCUUUUGGAUGCAGGUGAUUGGUAAUGGAUAUGCGACAAUAAGAUUUAUCAUCCACCUGGUAAUGGAUAUGCCGUCGGUAGGAUUUAUUAUCCACCUGGUAAUCCUAGGGUAGUCUAGGAGUACUCAUCUUUCAGUAAUCACUUUAGUUAUUAGAUCUGCUAAAAGUGGGAAAACCUCCUAAUGAUAUUCCAGAUUUCCAAGAGCUUCUCCACUGCUUGUGGCAGUAACCGGAUAAUUCUGAGCUUGAAAAAGAUGUGAUGACAUUGAAAAGUUGAGCUUGGGUCUAUAGACUUAACAAUGCACUAAACAGUGACGUCUAUUUAAAAUUAUAAUUCAUCUAGAUAUAUCUGCUUAUGCCUGUAAUCAUUGCUAAAGUUGGCACAGUUUCAUCCGCUUGUAUGUCAAAAGACCCCAUAAUGAUCUUAUGUUGAAACAAAUCUUAUGAUGACAAUUUAGUUUUUUCAUCAUGUCUAUGAUUGAAGGUGCAAAUUUACCUUCAGACCAAGAAAAAGAACCUAAACUUAAUAGGAGAAAAGGAGAAAAACUGUGCAAGCACAACGACAAAUAAAGCACCACAAAUAAUUGAGGAGGAUAGAAUGUGGUCUCAAUUAUAUCAGUAUGUAGUAAAUUUCAUAUGUUUAAGCUCAAACUACAUAAGC